rnacentral:rRNA from 1 species
AUUGAACGCUGGCGGCAUGCUUUACACAUGCAAGUCGAACGGUAGAGGGGGCAACCCCUUGAGAGUGGCGAACGGGUGAGUAAUGCAUCGGAACGUGCCCAGUCGUGGGGGAUAACGCAGCGAAAGCUGUGCUAAUACCGCAUACGAUCUCUGGAUGAAAGCGGGGGACCGAAAGGCCUCGCGCGAUUGGAGCGGCCGAUGUCAGAUUAGGUAGUUGGUGGGGUAAAGGCUCACCAAGCCAACGAUCUGUAGCUGGGCUGAGAGGACGACCAGCCACACGGGGACUGAGACACGGCCCAGACUCCUACGGGAGGCAGCAGUGGGGAAUUUUGGACAAUGGGCGCAAGCCUGAUCCAGCAAUGCCGCGUGCAGGAAGAAGGCCUUCGGGUUGUAAACUGCUUUUGUACGGAACGAAAAGGUCUGGGUUAAUACCCUGGGCACAUGACGGUACCGUAAGAAUAAGCACCGGCUAACUACGUGCCAGCAGCCGCAGUAA